rnacentral:rRNA from 1 species
CUAGCCAUGCGAGUCAUAUGUUCUUCGUGAACAUGGCGUACUGCUCAGUAACACGUGGAUAACCUGCCCUUGGGUCCGGCAUAACCCCGGGAAACUGGGGAUAAUUCCGGAUAACGCAUAUAUGCUGGAAUGCUUUCUGCGUAAAAUGGAUUCGUCUGCCCAAGGAUGGGUCUGCGGCCUAUCAGGUAGUAGUGGGUGUAAUGUACCUACUAGCCGACGACGGGUACGGGUUGUGAGAGCAAGAGCCCGGAGAUGGAUUCUGAGACAUGAAUCCAGGCCCUGCGGGGCGCAGCAGGCGCGAAAACUUUACAAUGCGGGAAACCGUGAUAAGGGGACACCGAGUGCCAGCAUCAUAUGCUGGCUGUCCGGGUGUGUAAAAUACACCCGUUAGCAAGGGCCGGGCAAGACCGGUGCCAGCCGCCGCGGUAACACCGGCGGCCCGAGUGGUGAUCGUGAUUAUUGGGUCUAAAGGGUCCGUAGCCGGUUUGGUCAGUCCUCCGGGAAAUCUGAUAGCUCAACUAUUAGGCUUUCGGGGGAUACUGCCAGGCUUGGAACCGGGAGAGGUAAGAGGUACUACAGGGGUAGGAGUGAAAUCUUGUAAUCCCUGUGGGACCACCUGUGGCGAAGGCGUCUUACCAGAACGGGUUCGACGGCGAGGGACGAAAGCUGGGGGCACGAACCGGAUUAGAUACCCGGGUAGUCCCAGCCGUAAACGAUGCUCGCUAGGUGUCAGGCAUGGCGCGACCGUGUCUGGUGCCGCAGGGAAGCCGUGAAGCGAGCCACCUGGGAAGUACGGCCGCAAGGCUGAAACUUAAAGGAAUUGGCGGGGGAGCACAACAACGGGUGGAGCCUGCGGUUUAAUUGGACUCAACGCCGGACAACUCACCGGGGGCGACAGCAAUAUGUAGGCCAAGCUGAAGACUUUGCCUGAAU